rnacentral:rRNA from 2 species
AGACCCGAAACCCGGUGAUCUAGCCAUGGGCAGGUUGAAGGUUGGGUAACACUAACUGGAGGACCGAACCGACUAAUGUUGAAAAAUUAGCGGAUGACCUGUGGCUGGGGGUGAAAGGCCAAUCAAACCGGGAGAUAGCUGGUUCUCCCCGAAAGCUAUUUAGGUAGCGCCUCGUGAAUUCAUCUCCGGGGGUAGAGCACUGUUUCGGCUAGGGGGCCAUCCCGGCUUACCAACCCGAUGCAAACUGCGAAUACCGGAGAAUGUUAUCACGGGAGACACACGGCGGGUGCUAACGUCCGUCGUGAAGAGGGAAACAACCCAGACCGCCAGCUAAGGUCCCAAAGUCAUGGUUAAGUGGGAAACGAUGUGGGAAGGCCCAGACAGCCAGGAUGUUGGCUUAGAAGCAGCCAUCAUUUAAAGAAAGCGUAAUAGCUCACUGGUCGAGUCGGCCUGCGCGGAAGAUGUAACGGGGCUAAACCAUGCACCGAAGCUGCGGCAGCGACGCUGAUGCGUUGUUGGGUAGGGGAGCGUUCUGUAAGCCUGCGAAGGUGGCCUGUGAGGGUUGCUGGAGGUAUCAGAAGUGCGAAUGCUGACAUAAGUAACGAUAAAGCGGGUGAAAAGCCCGCUCGCCGGAAGACCAAGGGUUCCUGUCCAACGUUAAUCGGGGCAGGGUGAGUCGACCCCUAAGGCGAGGCCGAAAGGCGUAGUCGAUGGGAAACGGGUUAAUAUUCCCGUACUUGGUGUUACUGCGAAGGGGGGACGGAGAAGGCUAUGUUGGCCGGGCGACGGUUGUCCCGGUUUAAGCGUGUAGGCUGGUUUUCCAGGCAAAUCCGGAAAAUCAGGGCUGAGGCGUGAUGACGAGGCACUACGGUGCUGAAGCAACAAAUGCCCUGCUUCCAGGAAAAGCCUCUAAGCAUCAGGUAACAUCAAAUCGUACCCCAAACCGACACAGGUGGUCAGGUAGAGAAUACCAAGGCGCUUGAGAGAACUCGGGUGAAGGAACUAGGCAAAAUGGUGCCGUAACUUCGGGAGAAGGCACGCUGACACGUAGGUGAAGUGAUUUACUCAUGGAGCUGAAGUCAGUCGAAGAUACCAGCUGGCUGCAACUGUUUAUUAAAAACACAGCACUGUGCAAACACGAAAGUGGACGUAUACGGUGUGACGCCUGCCCGGUGCCGGAAGGUUAAUUGAUGGGGUCAGCGCAAGCGAAGCUCCUGAUCGAAGCCCCGGUAAACGGCGGCCGUAACUAUAACGGUCCUAAGGUAGCGAAAUUCCUUGUCGGGUAAGUUCCGACCUGCACGAAUGGCGUAAUGAUGGCCAGGCUGUCUCCACCCGAGACUCAGUGAAAUUGAACUCGCUGUGAAGAUGCAGUGUACCCGCGGCAAGACGGAAAGACCCCGUGAACCUUUACUAUAGCUUGACACUGAACAUUGAGCCUUGAUGUGUAGGAUAGGUGGGAGGCUUUGAAGUGUGGACGCCAGUCUGCAUGGAGCCGACCUUGAAAUACCACCCUUUAAUGUUUGAUGUUCUAACGUGGACCCGUUACCCGGGUUGCGGACAGUGUCUGGUGGGUAGUUUGACUGGGGCGGUCUCCUCCUAAAGAGUAACGGAGGAGCACGAAGGUUGGCUAAUCCUGGUCGGACAUCAGGAGGUUAGUGCAAUGGCAUAAGCCAGCCUGACUGCGAGCGUGACGGCGCGAGCAGGUGCGAAAGCAGGUCAUAGUGAUCCGGUGGUUCUGAAUGGAAGGGCCAUCGCUCAACGGAUAAAAGGUACUCCGGGGAUAACAGGCUGAUACCGCCCAAGAGUUCAUAUCGACGGCGGUGUUUGGCACCUCGAUGUCGGCUCAUCACAUCCUGGGGCUGAAGUAGGUCCCAAGGGUAUGGCUGUUCGCCAUUUAAAGUGGUACGCGAGCUGGGUUUAGAACGUCGUGAGACAGUUCGGUCCCUAUCUGCCGUGGGCGCUGGAGAACUGAGGGGGGCUGCUCCUAGUACGAGAGGACCGGAGUGGACGCAUCACUGGUGUUCGGGUUGUCAUGCCAAUGGCACUGCCCGGUAGCUAAAUGCGGAAGAGAUAAGUGCUGAAAGCAUCUAAGCACGAAACUUGCCCCGAGAUGAGUUCUCCCUGAGACUUAGAGUCUCCUGAAGGAACGUUGAAGACGACGACGUUGAUAGGCCGGGUGUGUAAGCGCAGCGAUGCGUUGAGCUAACCGGUACUAAUGAACCGUGAGGCUUAACCUUACAACGCCGAAG